GAUUACAAGAAGUAUGACAUUCUAUUGCUCAUUGGACUCGGCAUUGCAGCAACUCCCUUCAUCAGCAUUCUUAAGGAUCUAUUAAAUAACUUGAAGGAUACCAGUUGCCAGGUGCUGAAUCUGUAAAACGCUGCUCAUCAACAUCUAUUCUUUGUAUAUAUAUGACUUUUUUUUUAAGAUCUUGUUUCUGAUGUGUGUGUUUCUGAAAAAAUGCAGGAUAUUGAGAGCAGAAAAGGGCCUAAAAGAUUUUUGAUUGAAUUGCGUUCAAGUUGAAGUUUUAUGUUGAAGAUUCAUUGAAGGUUGAAUGUCGGUUGAAGAUGGAAUUUUUACUUAUUUUUUAUUGUUUUUAUUUCCUCUUCUGAAUGUUUGUAUCAAUUCGUCAAAAUUGUUAGUAAUAAGAUUAUACUUCUAGUUUCCUUUAUUAAUUUAUAAUAUUUUUUUUUUUGUUGAUGUAAGAAUGUGCUUGUAACUGUUGUUGUACUAAUAACACAAUGUUGACGCUUACAAGUGUCUAUAUAGUAGCUUCAAAUUGCGACA